rnacentral:rRNA from 1 species
GAUGAACGCUGGCGGCGUGCCUAAUACAUGCAAGUCGAGCGAACAGAUGAGGAGCUUGCUCCUCUGACGUUAGCGGCGGACGGGUGAGUAACACGUGGAUAACCUACCUAUAAGACUGGGAUAACUUCGGGAAACCGGAGCUAAUACCGGAUAAUAUCUUGAACCGCAUGGUUCAAUAGUGAAAGACGGUUUUGCUGUCACUUAUAGAUGGAUCCGCGCCGCAUUAGCUAGUUGGUAAGGUAACGGCUUUCCAAGGCAACGAUGCGUAGCCGACCUGAGAGGGUGGUCGGCCACACGGGAACUGAGACACGGUCCAGACUCCUACGGGAGGCAGCAGUAGGGAAUCUUCCGCAAUGGGCGAAAGCCUGACGGAGCAACGCCGCGUGAGUGAUGAAGAUCUUCGGAUCGUAAAACUCUGUUAUUAGGGAAAAACAAAUGUGUAAGUAACUAUGCACGUCUUGACGGUACCUAAUCAGAAAGCCACGGCUAACUACGUG